rnacentral:rRNA from 1 species
AACGAACGCUGGCGGCAGGCCUAACACAUGCAAGUCGAACGCUGUAGCAAUACAGAGUGGCAGACGGGUGAGUAACGCGUGGGAACAUACCCUUCGGUUCGGAAUAACUCAGGGAAACUUGAGCUAAUACCGGAUACGUGCGAGAGCAGAAAGAUUCAUCGCCGAAGGAUUGGCCCGCGUUCGAUUAGCUUGUUGGUGAGGUAAUGGCUCACCAAGGCGACGANCGAUAGCUGGUCUGAGAGGAUGAUCAGCCACAUUGGGACUGAGAC